rnacentral:rRNA from 1 species
CACGUAGGGUGCGAGCGUUGUCCGGAAUUAUUGGGCGUAAAGAGCUCGUAGGCGGUGUGUCGCGUCGGCCGUGAAAACCUGGGGCUUAACUCUGGGCGUGCGGUCGAUACGGGCAUCACUGGAGUUCGGCAGGGGAGACUGGAAUUCCUGGUGUAGCGGUGAAAUGCGCAGAUAUCAGGAGGAACACCGGUGGCGAAGGCGGGUCUCUGGGCCGAUACUGACGCUGAGGAGCGAAAGCGUGGGGAGCGAACAGG